GAGUUCAAAUUUGCCCUCAGGCACUUAGUUGUGUGACUCUAGGCCUGUCAAAUAACCUGCCUCAGUUUCCUCAUCUGUAAAAUGAGCUGGAGAAGGAAAUGACAAACUAUUCUAAGAUCUUUGCCAAGAAAACUCCAAAUGGAAUCACAAGGAGUUGCACGGGACUGAAAUGACUCAACAAUACUACCAGCCAAUCCUGAAUUAGGAACCUGAAAAGGUCUGCUCUUUUAAAUUUCAACAUUUCUCAAAUAUUCUACCGCCUGCAACUAUGGUACAAAAAGCAACAGCCUGUAUCUUCCAAAUCUAUUCUAGAUUGGAAAACCUCCUCAGUUUCUAGUUUCCAGAAAUUCCCCUGUUUUAUGUGCUUGCCCUAAGAUCAGCUGUAUUCUCACUUCAUCAUUACUGCUCUUAAGUCUGGAAUUUUUUCUCUCUCUCUUCAUGACCACCAGCUCCUGUCUUUUCUCAAGCCCCAGCUAACAGCCCCCUUCAAUUCCCUUUAAUUCUAGUGUUUUUCCUCUGAUGAUUAUCUCCAAUUUAUCCUAAAUAUAGCUCCUGUUUAUACAUAAUUGUUUUCUCUUACAUAAGUGUUGUCUCUUUCAUUAGAUUGUAAACUCCUGUUUCUAAGAGUAAGGAAGGACUGUCUUUUGCCUUUCUUUGCAUCCCCAGGACCUAGAACAUAGUAGGCACUUAAUAAAUUAUUACUGACUGACUGCCCUCACAGCUGGAACCCCCAAAAUAUUAUCUGGAAAUAGGCUUAGUUAAGAUUUAACAACCAGUGAUUCCUGGAACCAAAAAACAAAACAAAACUCAGGAAAGGGAGGGGAGCAGGGAGGAACUUUCAACUGUAUUAGGGAAGGUCUGAUUGUAUCUUUUCUUCUGGUUAUAUAAACGGCUGGUUAUCUUUAAAAAAAAAAAAUGACCUUCUCCUGUGAACCAUAUCUCUCACACCUGUGCUAAAGUUAAGGCAGUCAAGGAUAAAGAUUGAAAGCAUAAGAAUGAAGUCUACCUUGAGGGAGUAGUCCAUAUGCCAGAGAACUGUGGCUAUCUGAUGGGGAGGAUUAGGAGACUAGAAUUACCUGUUCCAAUAACCUAAUCAAUACGGCUUCUGAGACCCGAUGACAGCACCAGCCUUUCCUGAUAACACUUCUUCAUUAAAAAUACUUUGAAGUCCAGUUAGGUGCUUCCAAAGAACUCAAAGCACUCUAUUAAAAAUAUCUGAGAGAUUACAACAAUGUAACUGGAUGUAACUACAGAAAGUAAAACAAAAGGAAUGAGUACUGGAAAAUCAUAAUGACCAAGUCUGGUCAUAAAGCAGAAUGGGGGGAAAAAACAAAAAAUAGAAAUAAAAAUUUAUUUUGGAAAAAAUAGCUCACUCGUACUCAUACAUAGCACUUAGCCCAGUGCCUUAAAAGUCAAUCUCUGUGUGUGGCACAUAUUUAUAAUCCCUGCUGGAGAGGCCGGGGAAUCUCUUGAGCUCAAAAGUUCAGAGUUACAGACCAGUAUAAUUGGUUAUCUGUAGUAAAUUCAGCAUUAACUUCAACACUCAUGUCUCAGUUUCAGGCAUGUUGUCCCUUUUCUCAAACCCUUCUCAGGGUAUCCAAUUCAAACCACCCUCCUUCUCCUGCCACAUAUCCCAAUCUAUGAUCAACGCAGGAGAAAUUGGGCAGAGCUGAAACUGAAAACUACUCUCAGAAAAGUUUGAACUGUGGCCUGGAGGCAACUAGCAGAACGAACAAUAUCUGUCAAGAGUGUUUCUUGGAAGGAUGGAGUGCCAGAAAGAAGUCUGAUCACCCUAACAGGGUCAGAGCUUUAAAAAGAAUGAGAUCUGAAGGAUUAAGAUUUGGGAUUUUUACCAAAUUCUCUGAAACAUCCAAGGAAAGUCACAGUGAUAGCCCGAACUGAGCCAACCACAAUCUCUUGCCCAGAGCCUCUUGUGACCAACAGCGUGCCUCUACAAGAAGACUGGCUAGAAUUCAAGUUUCUGUCUUUGUCCAUGGAACAGAGCUUUUUCUCUGUGUGAAGCUAAACUAGACCAUAUGGAGACUGAACCAAUGGCCCUGACCUCGCUGGCCAAACAGGUAACCACCUGAAACAAAGCAAUAAAGUCCAUUGAUCUAGCUAAGAGAAAUUAACACCAAAUUUAAUAGCACUAAAAAAAAAUAAAUCAAAUAUUUAUUAAGUGCCUACUAUGUGUGCUAAGUGCUAGAGAAAUGCAAUAAUGUACCCUCUCAAAACUCCAAAUAGAUUUUACCUAAUUCUGUGAUGGUUCCUUGGUUAAUGAGAAAAUUCACAUUUGACCACCCAGUCAUUCAGUCAUUUCAUUCAUUCAGUCAACAAACAUUUAUUAAGUGUACCACACUAGAUGCUUGGAUAAAUAAAACACAAAGGCCUUAGAGGAUGGGACCAACAAGAUACAACCAGCCAACAAGAAUUGAUUUGACCUUGGAGGUGAAGGUGGGGGGCUAGGGUACAAAAGAUGUUUAAGAUACAAUCCCAAUUCUCCAAGUAUUUGCACAUCUGAGGAAAUAAAACAGACCCUUAAAACAAACAUAAUAAUAGAAGGCUGUGCAUAAAAUGUGGGUUUAAACAAAAUCCCACUUUCUUUUUGUUAACAGCCUUUAGAAGAACGUGAUUUGUGUCAAUUUUACUGACUCAACUGGGUAUUUCAAAUGGGAUCAAGAAAAGUACUGAUCUAGUUCUACUUGCAGAGACACCACACAAGGAGUCACCCUGCAAGGCGGCCCACAAAGAACGGGGGACUCCCUGCAUCAUCAGCUGGGGCUAUGAUUUGAAUGAGCUGUUCAGGCAACUCCAGCUUUUCAGGCAGAGCAAGGAUGCUCAGACCUGGCUUCCAGAACGCCAAGUGGCCAUUACAUUGCUUUGGUGAUUCACUAAGUAGUACAGGAUGUGCCCAAUUACAGGCUGUAUUUUUCCAAUCCUGUUUCAUAAACUCCAAUUGCACAAGGGCAGAGAUUCUCCAUUAAAACGAAUUCGUAUAAGGACAUCCUCAGACUUCAGCAAAAUAAAUACACUCUGACCAGCCCAAUAUCGUUCUGGCUGGGUCCCCAAGUGACCAUAGAAAGCCACACCAGUGGCAGUGAGAAAGCAUCACUCCCUAGUCAUCAGGAAGGAGUUCCUAUCCUAUAUAAGGCAACUUGUGUCAAAAGGCUUUUUUUUUUUUUUAAUUUUGGGGGGAGGGAACAUUAAUUUUUCUUUGCCCUACCCUAACCCCAGAUUAAAAACACUGUUCCAAACUUUUAAUAAACUGCCAACAGCAGCUGCUUCAAGAUCAGGAAGAAAAAAGUAAAACUGAAUUGUUAUUACUAAAAACAAACUAUUAGUUCUUUCCAAGAUAAAUAAUUACUUAGUGUUCCCAUAAUCAGCCUCAGAAGUGUGGCUUAGAACACAAAUUGUUUUAGCAGCACCAGAGAGAUAAAAAAGAGCAGAUAAAGGGUUGGAUUUGGGGGAAGGGAGAGAAAACUUUUACCUCAGACUUCCUAAAAACUUUCUAUUUAAUACUUUUUCUCUUUCAAAACAUCAAGCAAUCUGUCUCUCUCUCUCAGGGGCAGUUGGUGAUUUAGAUGGGAAGCUAAACCUAAGGUCACAAAGUCCUAAAUUCAAAGCUGAUUUUAGAUGCAUGACCCUGGUUCAGUCACUUAAACCUUGAUUUCCACAACUCUAAAAUGGGGAUAACAAAUAGAACCAACUACUCUUGUAAGGCUAAAAGGAGAUAUUCUUUGUAAAAAGCUCUUAGCACUUAAUAAGCACCACAUAAAUGUUUAUUCCUUCCCUGCUGUUUGUUUUAGGAAGAAGUUGAACCAUCAAGAAACUAAAAGAUUGUUAUAUAUUUCACGUUUGCAUAAGAAAAUAAGGCUUUUGCUUUAAAAGAAAAAAAUGGGGAAUUCUAUACAGAGUAGACUCCAACACAAGUUUGUCAAUAACCUGUAUUUACUGGAUUACAGAAUGCAAAUAGGCAAGACAGGUCAGUUUUCUGGUCUUGAAAAAUGUCAAGACACAAGAGAGUCAAAGUCACAUCCAGGUCACCAAAUGUACCUUUUGCCAAUUAGCAUUAUUUAACUGCUGAGAAUAAUUUUUGUAGCUGCCAGCCUCAAUCAACCUUCCCUCUCUUGCUCAGGUCCCACCCCAAUCUACAUCAUGUCUUUCUCCUGGAUGCUGCACAAACCCCAGGGUGGGCGGUGCCAUGGGUCUGUCAUUUGUCAAGCUCUGCAACCAAGCUUAAAUGAGACUAAAGAGUAAGACAAGCCAAAUUAAAACUCUUAAGGUCAUUAAUCACACCCCCGUGACUUCAGAUAAGGUAGUGAAACAUAUGCUUAAACAGGGCUGGUAUUUAGCUUUAAUCAGAGACACAGAGUUUGGAAAACAGCAAAGCUGCCCAAACGAGACAUUCUUGUCAAAAUUCCCUUUAAAAUAAAAAUUUCCCCCCCUAAAAUAACAACAAAAACCAGCUUUAUGACUGUGAACACAAACAGGCAGAUGGUCACUCAGGAAAUGAGGUUCAUGAUGGUGUUCCCUCCUGCAGUUAGCUAAGAAUAGGAAUAAUAAGGGUUGACAUUCACAGGGGACACUCACAGGUUUGUGAAGUGAUGUGAUGUACUUUCUCAUUUCAUAACAACCCUGGGGGAAGGCAGGUAGGUACUAUUAUUAUCCCCAUUUUAUAGAUGAGGAAGUUGAGGCUUAGAAGUAAACCCAGUGGCUCAUAGUCACAAAAUUAAUAAGUAUCAGCAAAGGCCAAAAAUCAAAUCCAGGUCUUCCCAGACUGUCUUUAAAAAAAAAAAAAAAAAAAAAAAAAAAAAAAAAAAAAACCCAAAACCAGAAACAACAACAACAAAAAGAAGAGCAGAUUCCAUUUCUAGCUUAUUAUUAUUAAGCACUGAACAGUGGAAACCACAAGGUCCAUAAAAAGUUUCUUUCCAAAAAGAAAAUUACCUAGAAUAGAGCUGAAAUAUCUAGAAUAGGCUUAAGCUGUCUGGAAUAGAUUGGGGUGUCUAGAAUAGGCUUAUUUGGCACUUCUGGGGAGCAGUGAAGAAGAGCAAUGAAUAGCAACCCUCAUGCACCUAGUGGGUGCCUAAUAAAUCCUAAUUGGCUGACUGACAAAGACAGGCUGGUAACAGCAAUUAUUCAAAUCAUGACUGGAGGAAAUUCAGGUGUCUCUUGAAAAUUGCAAAAGCCCUGAGUCAGAAAGAAUUGUACCUUGUCUGUGGUGCACAGGUGGAAUAUUAUCUGCCAUUGUUCCAUAAUUAAACAAAUUCCAGGUGGCUCUUCCCUUCCCACUUCCAUCAAAACUAUAUCUAAUAAUGCUAACAAGUGCUAGGUUAUUAAAUAUUAUUGAUAUAAUAUUAAUAUCAUAUUCAUAGAAGCCACUAUUUUGUGGCCUUAAAAAAAAACCUAGUCAAGUUCGAAAACAAAUCAGGUUCAUUUUAAAUCAUCAACUAUAUUCAUACAAAUACUUCAUACAGUGAUGGGAGAAAAAUAUUCUUCUCUCCAGAGAUCUAGACCAUUUUAGCAAAUGGAUUACUUACUAUUAGGUUGGUACUUUCCAAUCUCUAUUCCCUGUAUCUGAAAUGUCCUCUUAUCAUACCUCUAAAGGUUGGAAUUCUUGUCCAUCAGUAAAGUCCAACCCAAAUGCCAGCUCCCAGAGGAAGCUUUCCUUGAUUCCUUGUUCCCUAAUUGGUAAUGACAUUUUUCUUCUUCUGAUCUGAAAUAACUCUUUGUUUUUCAUGCAUUAUGUAUAUUUUGAUUAUAUCUUAUACAUAUGUAUAAUUUAUGUUAUUUUAUAUUACAAUUAUCUAUGCAUGUGUAUAUGUCUUAGAUUCUUACUAGAGUGCACAAGAAGGCAAGACUGCUAAAUUCUGUACCUGCAACAAUUCUCUGCAUAGAAUAGGUGCUUAAUAAUUAUUUAUAAAACUAAACUAAGGUAAAUUAAACUGGUGGGCAGAGAAAUGUAAACAGAAAUCCCCUCACCCCCCCUCAAAAAAAAAGCCAACGACAGGUCUCAGUCCUAAUAUAUUUUUAGCUGACACUUUAUAUUUUCCUUUAUAAAUGUAAUAUCCUAUUUGUUAUAGAAUCACUGUCUUUCUUUUCUGAAACAUUUAUCUUCUUCCUCAAUCAGUUCAGACACUGGGGAAGUAGAGUUCCACCAAGGAGGCAGAGGGUUCCAGCCACCUGACUGUUAUUUGCAGAGACUUAAAAAGAGUAAAUCUCCUCCCCUGUUAACGCUAAUGAGCUUCUGGUGGCUAGAGCGCCCUGUGAUUAGCUUACUCUGGCUAUUUCUAUUCCAAAUACCCAGAAAAUCUGAGCCCAAAUGGGACAGAAUUUUUUUUUUUUAAAGAUCUCAACCUCUGCACCUUUCAUUUUUAUAUCUUGUAAAGAUGCAGUCAAUAUGACUGGAAGUUGAAGCAAUAAAGAGAAUACUGGGUUUGUAGUCAGGAAAACUGGAAUUCAAAUCUAGUCUCAUUUACUUCCCAGCUGUAUGAUCCUGGGCAAGUCACUUAAUCUUAAUUUCCUCAGGUAUAAAAAGGGAAUUAUAAUAGCACCUAUCUUAGAUGAUCAAAUGAGUAACAUUUGUAAAGUAUUUGGCACAGUGACUAGCAUACAAUAAAUGCCAAAUAAAUGGUUCUUUCCUUUCUUCCUUCUGCAGAGAUGGAAGAUUGUAGAUAUGCAAUGAUAUUAGGUAUACAGUCACAUUCAGGUGACAUGUGAUUUAGUUCUUCUCCCCUCUCCCCCUUUUUAUUCUUUGUUACAAGAGGAUGGAGGAGGAUUUUUUAUUAGAAAAUCAAAGUUAUGUAAAAACAAAAGCUAUUAGUAAAAUUUUUCAAAACCACACAUUCAAUAAUAAAAUAUAUAUUUAU